AGAGCGCGCAGGCGGCUCGGGUGCGCGUUGCGGCGCUGGUGUCCGGAGGACGCGGUCACCGCUGCUGGCAUUUGUCGUUCUGCGCUUCUCCGCAAGGACCCUCUGCUAUGCAGGCGCCCACCGUAAGCCUCCCGGGUCUUGUGAACCUGCAAACCCAAGUCCGAGAGACGAUCCGCCUUCAGCACUUUCCGGCUUGGCAGAGAGGCUUUCCUGGCGGGGAUCUUUGGUUCGCGCUGGCGAUGCGCGGGGAAGAAAGGCGAGGAGGAGCGUCCAGGCUGGAUGCUGUCCCAGCGCGAGUAGGCGGGAUGCGCUCGCAUGGUCCGCGGGGCGCCCCGUCCCCGCCCGCGUCGCGCGCCCACCCCUGGGGACGAGAAUGCGGCCGCCUGGGGAACCCCGCUCGCGACCUCCGCGAGUCUGGAGCGCAGAGGACAGGGUCUGGCGGCUCUUUGGCCUUGGAUGGAAAGUGGGCAAUUGGGUGGGGGGCUGCGGACCCCUUAACGUGGAUUACUUGGUGUGUAUCAGCUGGGCUCAGAAGACCCACGACCUCUUCUCCAUCCUUGGAUUGAUUUGUUCUGCUUAACAGCUGGGUCGCCAAGCUGGCGGUAUUUUUCCCUCUCCACCCUGGUCUUCUCCUGUAGCGUGUGGCCGCCUUUUCCAGCAUGGCCUCCUGCUUCCCUGGUGCACUUUUUGGAGAAGGUGGUGGAAUCAGAGGUUUCUGGCUGACUCGGUGGGUGCUUUGAACCAGGAAAGGACAAGAAAGAGGUUGGAGUGCAGUGGCAUGAUCUCAGCUCACUGCAGCCUCGACUUCCUGGGCUCAAGAAAUCCUCCUGUCUCUGCCUUCCGAGUAGCUGUGACCACAGUUAUAUGCCAUCAUGCCCAGACCAGAUUUCACCAUAUUGCCCAGGGUGGUCUUGAACUCCUGGGCUCAAGUGAUCCGCCUGCCUUGGCCUCCCAGAAUGCCAGGAUUACAGAGGUGAGCCACUGUGCCUGGCCUGAAGUCUAGUAAUUUUUAAAACUUUGCAUGUGAUUCUGCUCAUGAGCCAAGUUCAGGCGCCUGUGGAACAGCUAUAUUCCUCAAACUAGACAUGCACACCAGUCCCUGGGUAUUCUGUCAAAAGGCAGAUUCACAUUCAGCAGGUCUAGGGUCGGGGGCCUGACAUUUUGCACGUCUCACAAGCUCCCAGGUGAUGCUGAUGGUGCUGGUCACUGGAUGCCCCCUUGAGUAGUAAGGAACAAGAGGACUCUCCCCUGUUCUUUUCAGCUAUGUAGCCCAGUGGUUCUCCACUUUAGGCUUCACACUGGAAUCAUCUAGGGAGCUUUAAACUAUAGUGAUGCCUGGCGGUGUCUUACUCUCAGAGCUUCUGGUUUGAUUGGUCUAGGUUGCAGCCUGGGCAAUGAGAUUUAAAAGCUUCUCAGAUGGGCCGGGCAUGGUGGCUCAAGCCUGUAAUCCCAGCACUUUGGGCGGCACAGGUGGGCGGAUCACGUGGUCAGGAGAUCGAAACCAUCCUGGCUAGCACAGUGAAACCCCGUCUCUACUAAAAAUACAAAAAAUUAGCCGGGCGUGGUGGCAGGCGCCUGUGGUCCCAGCUGCUCGGGAGGCUGAGGCAGGAGAAUGGCCUGAACCCGGGAGGCAGAGCUUGCAGAGAGCCGAUCGCGCCACUGCACUCCAGCCUGGGCGACAGAGCGAGACUCCGUCUCAAAAAAAAAAAAAAAAAAAA
rnacentral:lncRNA from 1 species